rnacentral:rRNA from 1 species
UGCGCAGGCGGUUAUGUAAGACAGGUGUGAAAUCCCCGGGCUUAACCUGGGAAUUGCACUUGUGACUGCAUGACUAGAGUGUGUCAGAGGGGGGUAGAAUUCCACGUGUAGCAGUGAAAUGCGUAGAUAUGUGGAGGAAUACCGAUGGCGAAGGCAGCCCCCUGGGAUAACACUGACGCUCAGGCACGAAAGCGUGGGGAGCAAACAGGAUUAGAUACCCUGGUAGUCC